AUGCUAUGUAGUAAUUACAGUAGAGUCUCACUUAUCCAACACUCGCUUAUCCAACGUUCUGGAUUAUCCAACGCAUUUUUGUUAAAACUGCAAGGGAGAUUUAUGCCACCAGCUCUUACAUCUCUGCUAAGACUGAGCCAUAGGGGAAAUUCAGAUCUCCACCAAUCUAAGACUGAAAGAACCAUGGGCCAAAACAACACCCAGUAGUUCAAAGCCUUAGGCAACAAUCAAAAACAGCAACAUGUGAUUACAAGUUAAAGAUUCCUUAUCUGAAAUUUUGGAAUACCUACAUAUACAUAAUGAGUUAUCUUAGAGAUGGGACCUACAUCUAAGCACAGAUUUCAUUUAUGUUUUAUGUACCUCUUAUACACAUAGCCUGAAAGUAAUUUUAUAGACAUAAUAAUAGUUUAAAUAAUUUUGUGCAAUAAACAAAACAAGUUUGUAUACAUGCAUCAACCAGAAAGAAAUUUUUCUCUAUCUUAGCCACUCAUGUGGACAAUUUUGGAAUAUUUCAGAUUUCAAAAAUCUGGAUGAGAAAUGCUUAACCUGUAGUUGGUUAUGACUGGACAUGUCUUUUGCAAUUGCUUGCAUAUAAUCCUCAAUAAACAGCUUGCUUGCUGUAUUCUGAGGCUUCAGUGUGAGUUUAAGGUGCCUACGCAGCCUAGGGGUGCAACAGUUUGAAUAACCAGCCCAAUUUUUCUAAAUCCAAUUAUCACAGGGACAGAAACUCAGGUGAAAUCUUCUGAACAGGGGCACAAACAGCAAAACAAACACCACAAAGAUGUUUCCCAAGGACUAGGCUGUGUCACACCUCAGGUUAGCUUCACCUUGCUAAAGACACCAGGCUGCACACAGAAUGUAGUCUUUUGUAGUUUAUUAGGAAAUAGGGAAAAGAUAGUUCAUAAAAGGCAAAAGUUCAGUUCCAAAAGAUAGUUACAAAAACAAGGCUGUAAGAACAAAUCCAUGGAAACAUUAGGCAUGAAACAAGGUCCUUUCAAAAGAAGCCAAAGUCCCAGAAAUGAGAAUACAUCCAGGCUACAAGAUAAUACAGGAGAGCAGACUUGGUUCUUGAUUCAAGCGAGGAAAUUGCUUUGAUGAAGAUUUCCCUCUCAGCAGACUGUUUUAAUAGCAUAAAAUGAAGGCAUUUCUUUGCCCUUUGACCUCCCUCUUAUUUUCUAUUCUGAGACUUCUGCGCAACCCCCAAAAUUCCAAAUGACUAGCCCGAUCUAGAGAAGCGGCCUCAUCGCUUUCAAGGCCACAGGGCUCAUUAGUGUUAUCAGGCUGAGGCUGGGAGCUGCUCUCCCUUUCUGCUUCUUGCACCCUAAAACCAUAAUCAGUAACAACAUCAUUUCUUCCUGUGGGAAAGCCUCCCUGCUCCUCAUCUCCCACAGUAGGAACACUCUGCACCUGAAUCCCAUAAUUCCCAUCAGAGUCAUCUUGAAACUCAUCCUGAACCUGAAUGCCAUCAUCUUGAAACUGUAUCCCAGAAUCCUCAUCAGAGUCACACAAAGGCUGAGCCACAACAACAGCUGGUUAGCAGUCAGCUGCAACAAAUCACUACUGACUGAGAGGUCAUGAGUUUGAAGCCAGACUGGGUCAGAGUGAGCUCCUGACCAUUAAUAGUCUAGCUUGCUGUUGACCUAUGUAGCCCGAAAGAUAGUUGCAUCUGUUGAGUAGGAAAUUUAAGUACCACUUUAUAUGGGGAGGCUAAUUUAACUAAUUUAUGACAGAAGAAUGAAGAAGUACUCCAUCAAGGACUCAGUGUCACAAGUGGACGUGAAGUGGCAACCCCCCCUGUGGCUGGAAUCAAGCAUACCCUCAUGAAGCCAGAAGCUGGAAUGUUAAAUUGCCUCUGUGUCUGUCUAUAUAUGUUGUAUGUCUAAUGGCAUUGAAUGUUUGCCAUGUAUAUGUGCAUUGUGAUCCACCCUGAGUCCCCUUUGGGGUGAGAAGGACAGAAUAUAAAUACUGUAAAUAAUAAAUAAAUAAAUGCUAUCCAAAGCUAAAAACAAUAUAUUUUUGGCUGGAGUUACACUAUAAAAAGUAUCUGUUUCAACUUACAUAAAAUUCAACUUAAGAACAAACCUACAGAACUUACCUUGUUCAUAACUUGGUUACUGCUUGUACGCAACACCAGAGUGGGAUUUUUUGCCUCAUGUGUUACAAUAACUUGACUUGCAUUAAGUACUGUACAACUUGACUUCAAUAGUAGCCUGGUGUAGCAUUUGCUGCUCAGCUUCAGAAAGCCAAGAGAGAGAUGUGCGGAUCUGUUUAGCUGUGUAAAAUGGGGUGGAGAGACUUCUUGUAGCAUGAGGGGUCAGGUUUAAACUUCAGAUAAGUUCUCUGGGGCCACAUUGUAGUAGUGGGCAGGGCCAAAGACAACAAGCAUGGGGAACCCACCCAAUUCUCACUGUAUUGUAGCUUCACGGUCUUAGUGCCAGUAGCUCGGCCUUAAGACAGGCAUUUCAAGUUAAAUUUCAGCCCUUAAUCCCCAACAGUGACAAGCUGGAGGAAGGCGAGAGCCAUAUGUAUUUAUACUGGCAAGACUGCCAAUUCCUAUUCAGAUAAUAAUCCCCUUCUAUUCAUUUGCUGUCAUCUGGCAGUUUAACAUAGCUUUCAUGUUUUACUUCUGCUUUUGUUAAACAUUUGAAUGAAGUCAUUGGAUGAAAAGUCCAGAAUUAUGGUCAAAAGAUUUGGGGCCAUAUCUAUCAAAGCUCUUCCCUGCUCUCUCCUCUUACAUCUUUAAAUUACAAGAUGAAGCCAUGCUUGACCCUGCUGGACCAUGCCAUCAUGAAUGCUGAAUAGAUGUCCUGACACUCUUGACACAAGAAAAUUUUCUGCCUGCUCUCUGAGCUCUUUGAUAGAAAGGCCAAAUGGAAAGGAUGAUAACAAUUCAUAAAGAAAAUAGGACAGGAAAAUCACCUUUCAUCUGCUUCAGUUUUGAGAGAUAGAAAAUUAUAUGAUUCCAGGUAAUCAUUUUAAUCAGGCACUUAACCUAAAGUAAAUACAUGCAAUAACGGGAAACUGUAGGUGUGUUGUGCUGACUAGUUUUUUUUCUUUAUAAUUUUUUUUAACAGUACAUAAUUUAAGAAUAAUUUGCAAAUGUAAAAAACAGCUUGACAUGCCAUGCAGAUUGCAUAUUCACCUGAAAGAGAAAUAUAAAUCAUGUCUGAGGUAUGGUUUACCAUCUCCUAUGGAAGAUCCAAAAUAGACGUACUGGAACAAAAACCCUUUCUGGGAUAAUCUAAUACACAGUAAGGCCCCUUGCACACAGUUAAAUAAAAUCCCACAUUUUCUGCUUUGAACUGGAAUAUAUGGCAGUGUGAACUUAGAUAACCCAGUUUAAAGCAGAUAUUGUAGGAUUUUCUGCCUUGAUAUUCUUGGUUAUAGGGUUGUGUGGAAGGGCCCUGAGUGCUCUGAAAAUACAACAUGAUUUUUGAAAAAUAUGAUAACAUAGUUCUUCUUUUCAACUGAGAACUAAAACCACCCUUUCAAAGUAUUAAAAAGGUGGCUUCACCUACACUUUUCCUAUUAAACUGACAAGCAUGGGCAUGAUUCAGCCCAAGUUAAUACUUAUUAAUCAUGUGUUCAAAUUUCCUCUGUAGAAAUGAGUAGGACUUAGAAGUAUUCAUGCUUACGUGAGUUGUGCCUACUGUGAAAAAUAUAAAUCACUGAUUUCUUAAACUGUAAAAUUCUAACUGAUUACUUAUUGACUUCAAUAAAGACGACUGGGGUCUUCCACUGAAAUAUUUAUGUAUGUAAAAUUGUCCUUCAUUUUAAUUAUUGUAUUGUUCUUACUUUCUUUUUUGCAUUACAAAUGAGAUAUGUGCAGUGUGCAUAGGAAUUUGUUCAUGUUUUUUUAGUUAGUUCACACAAACAUUCUCUCUCCAUUUGCCACUGGCCCGGCCCAUCUGUCAGAUUUUAAAAUGCAAUGUGGCCCCUGUGUCCAAAUAUUUGCCCAUGCUGAAUAUAUAUACAUUAUAUAUAAUAUAAUGUAAAAUAUAUAAUAUAAUAUAUAAACAUUUCUUGGGACUCCAUGAUAAACGUUUCCUACAAAAAGGGCUCCACGGAUGACAAAGUUUGAAAACACUGAUUAUUCACACAUUUAAACAUCUGGUUUGAUACUGACUGCAUUUAUUGAAAAUGUAUGCAUUUUCCCUUGGAGGACAUUUCUUUAAGGCUUGGAAGAAGAUUCAGCUGGCAUAUAUUUAAUAUAUCAAUUAGCCAUUUUUACAUUGUGAAGUAGGAAGGAUACCCAUACUUGAAUAUGAUUACUCUGAAUAUUCUGAUAUUAUAUUUACAAAUCUUGUUUAAUUGUUCUUUUAUAUGUUUACUUAGUAAAGCUGUAAUUUUAUUUCUUUUGUUAAGUAUCUGUCUUCAAAUGUUUUUGAAUUUUUCAAGGUGCCUAACUUGUUAGGUAUAAUACAAAAAUAAAAACAGCUGUUUCAAAGCUAUGGACAUAGUUAAGUUUACUUCCAUUUACAUGAACUGACCCUAAGUAUACUAUUUAUACUAUUAAGUUUAUAUAUACAUAUUAAUAUUUUUUGCAUUCAUGUUCUAGAAGGCAUACAUACAAUUAAAGGACUUCCUCUUCUCCCAGAAACUUUACAGUAAAUCAUUUCCUACAGAUAAUUAUGUAAAAUUAAAGUAGCAGUGUUUUGGCUAUAUUGGCAACUGGUAAAUGUCCUUGGAAAAUACUUAUUACUACUUAACUCAACAUCCUGUCUUUGUAGAAACAAUAAGGUCAAGGGCUCUUCUGAAGGCUUAUGUUAAUGAUCCCUAGCCAGCUGCCUAGAAAAAUGGUUUCUAGCAUCACAUCUUCUACAGUAUUUGAAAGAAGGGAAUUUGCCCCUGCAUAAGAUCAUCAGGGAAAUGCCAUAUAAUCUCAAACAACAGAAUACCAGUGCUGUCACUACAUACCUUCAAGUCAACUCUGUCAUGACUCAAUACUAUAGAAUCCCGGGAGUUGUAGAAUCAGAGAAUAAUAGAGUCAUAGAAUAAUAGAGUUGGAAGAGGCCAUCUAGUCCAACCCCCUGCCAUGCAGGAAAAGCACAAAGUACCCCUGAUAGAUGGCCAUCUAGCCUCUGUUUAAAAGCCUCCAAGGAAGGAGCUUCCACCACAUUCUGAGGCAGACUUCCACCAUUGAACAGCUCUGAUGAU
rnacentral:lncRNA from 1 species